rnacentral:rRNA from 1 species
UACAGAGGUCUCAAGCGUUGUUCGGAUUCAUUGGGCGUAAAGGGUGCGUAGGCGGCGCGGUAAGUCGGGUGUGAAAUCUCGGAGCUUAACUCCGAAACUGCAUUCGAUACUGCCGUGCUUGAGGACUGGAGAGGAGACUGGAAUUUACGGUGUAGCGGUGAAAUGCGUAGGUAUCGUAAGGAAGACCAGUGGCGAAGGCGGGUCUCUGGACAGUUCCUGACGCUGAGGCACGAAGGUCAGGGGAGCAAACGGG